AUGGAGUGUGGGCUGAGCUGGCUUCUCCUGGUGGCUGUGUUAGGAGGGGUCCAGUGUGAGGUGCAGCUGGUGGAGUCUGGGGGAGACUUGGUGCAGCCUGGCCGGUCCCUGACACUCUCCUGUGUAGCCUCUGGAUUCAAUUUGGGAAGCUAUUACAUGAACUGGGUCUGCCAGGCUCCAGGGAAGGGCCUAGAGUGGGUCUCACAAAUAAGUAGUAGUGGUGGUAGUACAUACUAUGCCGACUCUGUGAAGGGCCGAUUCACCAUCUCCAGAGAAAACAGGAAGAACACACUCUCUCUGCAAAUGAGCAGCCUGAGGGAGGAGGACACGGCCCUGUACAACUGUGCGAGAGAGACACACAGUGAGGGGAAGGCGCUGUGGGCCCAGACACAAACCACCUGCAGGAAGAAGCAGGGUUGA